rnacentral:sRNA from 1 species
AUCCAUUGAACAGGUACAGCACAAGCAGUAGCAGUGCUAGCUUCCCCUGCAAUGUCCCACCAACGUACCUCACCUUCACCUGAAGAGACCACCUCUAAUGAU